rnacentral:rRNA from 1 species
GAUGAACGCUGGCGGCGUGCCUAACACAUGCAGGUCGAACGGGGACCUAUGUAGAUCAAGACUUCGGUCAAGAGAAAUUUAGGUUUAGUGGCGGACGGGUGAGUAACGCGUGAGCAAUCUGCCGUAUGCAGGGGGACAACAGAGGGAAACUUCUGCUAAUACCGCAUAAGCGCACAGUAUCGCAUGGUACAGUGUGAAAAAGCUCCGGCGGCAUACGAUGAGCUCGCGUCUGAUUAGCCAGUUGGCGGGGUAACGGCCCACCAAAGCGACGAUCAGUAGCCGGCCUGAGAGGGUGAACGGCCACAUUGGGACUGAGAGACGGCCCAGACUCC